UUCAUAACCCUUUGUUGUCCGACUCUGUUGCCUCCGGGGCGACCCUGCCUUCGGGCGGGGGCUCCGGGUGGACACUUCAAACUCUUGCGUAACUUUGCAGUCUGAGUAAACUUAAUUAAUAAAUUAAAACUUUUAACAACGGAUCUCUUGGUUCUGGCAUCGAUGAAGAACGCAGCGAAAUGCGAUAAGUAAUGUGAAUUGCAGAAUUCAGUGAAUCAUCGAAUCUUUGAACGCACAUUGCGCCCCUUGGUAUUCCGAGGGGCAUGCCUAUUCGAGCGUCAUUAUCACCCCUCAAGCUUUGCUUGGUGUUGAGGCCUGCUGUAAGGGCAGCCUCUAAAAUCAGUGGCAGUGCUGUCAGGCUCUAAGCGUAGUAAUUUUCAUCGCUAUAGACACCUGGUGGACACUCGCCAGUACCCCCCCAUUUUUUAAUGAUUGACCUCGGAUUAGGUAGGGAUACCCGCUGAACUUAAGCAUAUCAAUAAGCGGAGGA
rnacentral:rRNA from 1 species